rnacentral:tRNA from 1 species
CAAGUUAUACUUGAAGAUAAGAUUUUCAUUUACAUUGAAAUAAAUACUGUGCAAUUCAGUAUAACUUGA